rnacentral:rRNA from 1 species
UGGGGAAUUUUGGACAAUGGGCGCAAGCCUGAUCCAGCCAUGCCGCGUGCGGGAAGAAGGCCUUCGGGUUGUAAACCGCUUUUGUCAGGGAAGAAAUCUUCUGAGUUAAUACCUCGGGAGGAUGACGGUACCUGAAGAAUAAGCACCGGCUAACUACGUGCCAGCAGCCGCGGUAAUACGUAGGGUGCAAGCGUUAAUCGGAAUUACUGGGCGUAAAGCGUGCGCAGGCGGUUUUGUAAGACAGAGGUGAAAUCCCCGGGCUCAACCUGGGAACUGCCUUUGUGACUGCAAGGCUUGAGUGCGGCAGAGGGGGAUGGAAUUCCGCGUGUAGCAGUGAAAUGCGUAGAUAUGCGGAGGAACACCGAUGGCGAAGGCAAUCCCCGUGGGCCUGCACUGACGCUCAUGCACGAAAGCGUGGGGAGCAAACAGGAUUAGAUACCCUGGUAGUCCACGCCCUAAACGAUGUCAACUGGUUGUUGGGAAGGUUCCUUCUCAGUAACGUAGCUAACGCGUGAAGUUGACCGCCCGGGGGAGUACGGCCGCAAGGUUGAAACUCAAAUGAAUUGACGGGGUCAUAGCUGUUUCCUG